rnacentral:rRNA from 1 species
UACGGGGGGGGCAAGCGUUGUCCGGAAUUACUGGGCGUAAAGGGCUCGUAGGCGGCCAACUAAGUCAGACGUGAAAUCCCCAGGCUCAACCUGGGAACUGCGUCUGAUACUGGUUGGCUUGAAUCCGGGAGAGGGAUGCAGAAUUCCAGGUGUAGCGGUGAAAUGCGUAGAUAUCUGGAGGAAUACCGGUGGCGAAGGCGGCAUCCUGGACCGGCAUUGACGCUGAGGAGCGAAAGCCAGGGGAGCAAACGGG